UACGAAGGGGGCGAGCGUUAUUCGGAAUCACUGGGCGUAAAGCGUGCGUAGGUUGUUUUGUAAGUUGGGAGUGAAAGCCCAGAGCUCAACUCUGGAAUUGCUCUCAAAACUACAAGACUAGAAUCCGGGAGAGGAUAGCGGAAUUCCCAGUGUAGCAGUGAAAUGCGUAGAUAUUGGGAGGAACACCAGUGGCGUAAGCGGCUAUCUGGACCGGCAUUGACACUGAGGCACGAAAGCGUGGGGAUCAAACAGG
rnacentral:rRNA from 1 species